rnacentral:rRNA from 1 species
AGGACAAACGCUGGCGGGGUGCAUGAGACAUGCAAGUCGAACGAGGUGCUAUCGGGCUUGCUCGAUGGUUACCGAGUGGCGAACGGCUGAGUAACGCGUAGAUGACCUGCCCGGAAGUGGGGAAUAACUGCCCGAAAGGGUGGCUAAUACCGCAUGUGGUCGACGAUUCGCUUCGUCGUCUAAAGGAGUAAUCCGCUUCCGGAGGGGUCUGCGUCCGAUUAGCUAGUUGGUGGGGUAACGGCUCACCAAGGCGACGAUCGGUAGCUGGUCUGAGAGGAUGAUCAGCCAGACUGGGACUGAGAACGGCCCAGACUCCUACGGGAGGCAGCAGUCGGGAAUUUUUGCCCAAUGGACGAAAGUCUGAGGCAGCAACUCCGCGUGAGGGAUGAAGGCUCUAGGGUCGUAAACCUCUUUUCUCAGGGAGAUCCAAGACGGUACCUGAGGAAUAAGCGACGGCUAACUACGUGCCAGCAGCCGC